rnacentral:rRNA from 1 species
ACCGUGAGGGAAAGGUGAAAAGCACCCCGAUGAGGGGAGUGAAACAGUACCUGAAACGGAUUGCCUACAAGCAGUUGGAGGGUCUUUAUGGCCUGACAGCGUACCUCUUGCAUAAUGGGUCUGUGACUUAAUGUAUCGAGCAAGCUUAAGCCGAUAGGUGUAGGCGCAGCGAAAGCGAGUCUGAAUAGGGCGACAGAGUUCGAUGCAUUAGACCCGAAACCCGGCGAUCUAGGCAUGACCAGGAUGAAGGUGGGGUAACACCCACUGGAGGUCCGAACCGA